rnacentral:lncRNA from 1 species
CAGUCUGAUGGUCUGGGAGGUAGUAACUAGUAGUGUCUAUUCAGCAGUCUGAUGGUCUGGAGGUAGUAACUAGUAGUGUCUAUUCAGCAGUCUGAUGGUCUGGGAGGUAGUAACUAGUAGUGUCUAUUCAGCAUUCUGAUGGUCUCGGAGGUAGUAACUAGUAGUGUCUAUUAAGCAGUCUGAUAGUCUGGAGGUAGUACUUAGUAGUGUCUAUUCAGCAGUCUGAUAGUCUGGGAGGUAGUAACUAGUAGUGUCUAUUCAGCAGUCUGAUAGUCUGGGAGGUAAUAACUAGUAGUGUCUAUUCAGCAGUCUGAUGGUCUGGAGGUAGUAACUAGUAGUGUCUAUUCAGCAGUCUUAUGGUCUGCGAGGUAGUAACUAGUAGUGUCUAUUCAGCAGUCUGAUAGUCUGGGAGGUAGUAACUAGUAGUGUCUAUUCAGCAGUCUGAUGGUCUGGGAGAUAGUAACUAGUAGUGUCUAUUCAGCAGUCUGAUGGUCUGGGAGGUAGUAACUAGUAGUGUCUAUUCAGCAGUCUGAUAGUCUGGGAGGUAGUAACUAGUAGUGUCUAUUCAACAGUCUGAUGGUCUGGGAGAUAGUAACUAGUAGUGUCUAUUCAGCAGUCU